ACUCCUACGGGAGGCAGCAGUGGGGAAUAUUGGACAAUGGGCGCAAGCCUGAUCUAGCCAUGCCGCGUGUGUGAAGAAGGCCUUUUGGUUGUAAAGCACUUUAAGCGAGGAGGAGGCUACUUGGAUUAAUACUCUAGGAUAGUGGACGUUACUCGCAGAAUAAGCACCGGCUAACUCUGUGCCAGCAGCCGCGGUAAU
rnacentral:rRNA from 1 species